GACAGUUGUGUGUACUAAUUUUAGAAAGUUCUAUCGGUAACAUUUGAAAGUUUAAUUCGCUUUUACAUCCUUUUUUAAUUUUGUAAUGACCGUGUCUAAGAAUUUUAAGCCGGACGUCUGUUUCUAAGGAAACUUAAUUUUUAAAGUGCUUUUCUAAUAAGCGAAAUUAAAAGAAAACGCUGUAGUUAUCAGUAUCCCUUGCACCCCUGCUCCAACUUGUCUUCAUGGCAAUGAAUGGAGAAUAUAAAAGUGCAAAGACUAAGGCGAGUGAGUCGCUAUGCGGCCUGGGUUCGUACCUGGAAUCGCACGAAACUACUCUAUAAAACUUCAGUAUAAGUGAUGAUGGGAGAAAUAGGGUUAGCAGAGCUGUCUCUGUGCACUUCUAAGAAUGUAUUUUGGGAGCUAAGGAGUUUGAAAUCUUGACAGGAUGUAAGAUAAGGACGUUGUGCAACUUGGAUAGAUGAAUCCUCUUGGAGACGGAGUGCAAAAUCCAUAAUUGUAGAAAUGGACCAUACAGGCUAGAAGGAAAGGACUGCCAUACUUUUAGUGGGCCUGAAGUGAAUAGUUCAUGGAAAGGAGAAUGCUCAAAGCUGCAUGAGAUGUUGGAGGGAUCCCCUUGAGCUUUGCUGAACAAGACUUCAAAAUGUGAUUUGAAAAAAUAAAGCUAUUGAUAACUUU